UUUAUUUAAAAAAAAAAAAAGGCAAUAAAAUAUAGGCACAAAUUCUUCCUCUCAAAGUUAAAGGUUAAAACACAAAAUCAGGAACCAUUAAUCAUCUAUUUCAUUGAUUAUUUAUUUGAGAUCAAGCAUCUUUGUCGUACAUAUUUUUCUAAACUUCCACCAA